ensembl:lncRNA
AUGUUCUCCGCGCGGAGCUCAUCGAUGCCUCACCGCACUCUUAGCGCGUCUUCUCUCAUGGCGUCUGAACACACGCUGAACUUUAUACAGCUAGCAGAUAGACUCGCGGCGCAACCAUGGCCGAGGUCUGUAAAGGUUUUAUUGCUGGCAUUUGCUGUUGGUGUUUAUCUCAUUCCCUCCCCUGAUGAUCCCGAGCCCUACAUGUGAGUUGCCUCACUUGCCUUUUCACUGCAAAUCUUCACUGCCAUCACACAUUAGACAUGCGGAAGUGAUUCACAAAGACUCAAGUGUUGUUUUAUCAAAGCCUUGGCUGUUCAAAAGAGUCUUCAUUAGAGCACAAAUUAUGAUUCUCAGGAAGCUCUUAUUCCUUAUUCUGUGGUAAAUACACAUUUGAUGCCUCCCUCUUAUUUUACUGUAUUUGAAAUAAUCAUCAUUCGAGCAAAGGUGUUCUUUGGUGAGUCAGAAGCAACAAAUAUAAUUAAUAUAAUAUUUGAUUGAAGAACAUUUUUGAGAGAAUUUAUCUAAUAUUUCAUCCAUCUACUUGCACAUAUUGAUUUUCUUUAGCUCACUGUGUUUUAUUUUUGCGGCUUGAAGACUUAAACCAAAAAAAAAAAAAAAAACGCAUUUUGAUUUUUGCCUCCUUACAAUUUAAAAGUGCAUCAUAUUUACAUAACUCCCUCACAUUCCUCCUACAAGGAGCAGAUGGGAGUCCCUUUGGCUCUCUCAAUGGUCUGGAGUGUUCGAAAAAUCGAAGUGUGUUUUUCACGGACUGCAGCAGUAAAUGGGGAAGACGUCCCGUCCUUUACGAGGUGAGCGAGUGACAACAGAACAUAUCGUACUUCAUUGAAUUAAGUGAAAACAUUAAAGCGCAGUAACUUUACCUGCACUGAAGACAGAUGUUGGAGACAAACCACCUGGGUCGCCUUCGCUCAUAUGACCCUGUGACGGAGUUCAGUUUCAUUUUCGUUAAGGUUUCAGUAAUUUGUGUGUUUCUGUUAUUUUUAUUAUUAUUUUUUUUUUUUUAUAUAUGCCCUAUGCACAUAAACUGACAGUCACCACGGAUAAGCUACUACUAAAUAUUGUUAUUUUGUUAUGAUAAUGUAAUGCAAAACACAGAAACAACAAUAUUUCAGAAUGCUUUUAUCAAUCCAACACAAAAACCAAAAGUCCACACCGACCAUUGCAAUGCUACUAACAAAUAUAAUUAAAGAAUUAUGUGCAAAACGUCAUUAAACAUGUCAGACAUGAUCACAGACUGAAAAGUGCUUCACUGAACAGAUAUAUUGAAGUAUUGUGAGAAAGAUCUGCUUAUGCCUGUCUGCCACCUCUCACAUCAUUUGGGAGAAUUGAGAUAUUGCCAGAAGCUCGAUGAAGGUUAGGUAGUAGUCUGAAAGUAAAACAGUCCCUAAAUGCCUCAAAACCACUGCAGGAUUUCCCUCAUAGAACCAAAAUGGGACACACGGGUUCAUCAGUGACCUGCUGUGAUCCACACCUGACCUCUGACUCAUUCACAACUGACAUCCGUCAAACACCAAACUCAGAAAAGAAAACAUUUAAAAGACAAUAAUGAAAUGCUAAAUACAAUAUUUGCACUAAGUGAAUCAGUUAGUUGUGGUAUAACUCAAGUGAAAUGUCUGUCCAAACACAGAUUGUGCCGAUAUAUAGAUGUGACAGGAACCGAAAAAGUCAGAGAAUAUUUUUAUACAAUAAGGUAUUUUGUGCAUUAAAAAUAUUGUAGUUCACUAUCAUAUGCAAGCACAUUUCUGCUACAGGAUAAAAUAACAAAAAUGGUCAUUGCAACUUUUAAUCUCACAAUUUGGACAGAAUUCGAAAAUCAGAAUUGCAAGAUAUAAACUGACAAUUCUGAGAAAAAAGACAGAAUUGCAAACUAUUUUAUUAUAUAAAGUUGCAAUUCUGAGAAGUCUGAACUGUGAGAUUUGAGAAUUUUUUUUUUUUUUAAAUGCACAUUAGAAAAAGGAAUUCAGAAUCAGAAAUAAAAAAAAAAAGAAUUGUGAGGUAAAAAGUUGC